rnacentral:misc_RNA from 1 species
GAUCAUUAGAUUGAAUUAUCAUUGUUGCUCGAGUUCUUGUUUAGAUCUUUUACAAUAAUGUGUAUCUUUAUUGAAGAUGUGCGCUUAAUUGCGCUGCUUCUUUAGAGUGUCGCAGUGAAAGUAGUCUUGCUUGAAUCUCAGUCAACGCUACACACAUUGGAGUUUUUUUACUUUAAUUUAAUUCUUUCUGCUUUGAAUCGAAAGGUUCAAGGCAAAAAACAAACACAAACAAUUUUAUUUUAUUAUAAUUUUUUAAACUAAACCAAAAUUCCUAACGGAAAUUUUAAAAUAAUUUAAAACUUUCAACAACGGAUCUCUUGGUUCUCGCAUCGAUGAAGAACGUAGCGAAUUGCGAUAAGUAAUGUGAAUUGCAGAUACUCGUGAAUCAUUGAAUUUUUGAACGCACAUUGCGCCCUUGAGCAUUCUCAGGGGCAUGCCUGUUUGAGCGUCAUUUCCUUCUCAAAAGAUAAUUUAUUAUUUUUUGGUUGUGGGCGAUACUCAGGGUUAGCUUGAAAUUGGAGACUGUUUCAGUCUUUUUUAAUUCAACACUUAGCUUCUUUGGAGACGCUGUUCUCGCUGUGAUGUAUUUAUGGAUUUAUUCGUUUUACUUUACAAGGGAAAUGGUAACGUACCUUAGGCAAAGG